CCAGACUCCUACGGGAGGCAGCAGUGGGGACUCUUGCACAAUGGGCGCCCGCCUGAUGCCGCCCCGCCGCGUGCCGGCCGACGGUUUUCGGCUUGUAAACUUCUGUUCUUAGUGCAGCCUCAUGACGGUCCCUCCGGAGCAAGCCACGGCUAACUACGUGCCAGCAGCCGCGGUAAUACGUAGGUGGCAAGCGUUGUCCGGAAUUACUGGGUGUAAAGGGAGCGUAGGCGGGAAGCCAAGUCAGCUGUGAAAACUACGGGCUUAACCUGUAGACUGCAGUUGAAACUGGCUUUCUUGAGUGAAGUAGAGGUUGGCGGAAUUCCGAGUGUAGCGGUGAAAUGCGUAGAUAUUCGGAGGAACACCGGUGGCGAAGGCGGCCAACUGGGCUUGAACUGACGCUGAGGCUCGAAAGUGUGGGGAGCAAACAGGAUUAGAUACCCGCGUCCUA
rnacentral:rRNA from 1 species